rnacentral:tRNA from 1 species
GGGCCGGUAGCUCAGUGGUAGAGCACGUGACUUUUAAUCAUGUGGUCGCGGGUUCGAUCCCCGCCCGGCUCA